rnacentral:rRNA from 1 species
GAUGAACGCUGGCGGCGUGCCUAAUACAUGCAAGUCGAGCGAACGGACGAGAAGCUUGCUUCUCUGAUGUUAGCGGCGGACGGGUGAGUAACACGUGGAUAACCUAACUAUAUGACUGGGAUAACUUCGGGAAACCGUAGCUAAUACCGGAUAAUUUUUUGAACCGCAUGGUUCAAAAGUGAAAGACGGUCUUGCUGUCACUUAUAGAUGGAUCCGCGGUGCAUUAGCUAGUUGGCAAGGUAACGGCUUACCAAGGCAACGGUGCAUAGCCGACCCGGGGGCGUGGUGGGCCACGCUGUGACUGAAGGGCGUAUUAGACUCCUACAGGAAGCAGCCGCACGGACUCUUCCGCAAUGGACGAAAGUGUAAGGGAGGAACACCGGCUGAAUGCUGAAGAUCCUCGGCUCGUAGAACUCCGUUAGUAUGGGAGAACAUAUGUGUAAGUAACUGGGCACAUCUUGACGGUACCUGAUGAAAAAGCCACGGCUAGCUACGUG